UAAGCAACUAUACGGUGAAACUGCGAAUGGCUCAUUAAAUCAGUUAUCGUUUAUUUGAUAGUACCUUACUACAUGGAUAACCGUGGUAAUUCUAGAGCUAAUACAUGCUAAAAACCCCGACUUCGGAAGGGGUGUAUUUAUUAGAUAAAAAACCAAUGCCCUUCGGGGCUCCUUGGUGAAUCAUAAUAACUUAACGAAUCGCAUGGCCUUGCGCCGGCGAUGGUUCAUUCAAAUUUCUGCCCUAUCAACUUUCGAUGGUAGGAUAGUGGCCUACCAUGGUUUCAACGGGUAACGGGGAAU
rnacentral:rRNA from 1 species